AAAUUCGGUUCUAGAGAGGUUU
rnacentral:miRNA from 3 species